rnacentral:rRNA from 1 species
UACAGAGGUCUCAAGCGUUGUUCGGAUUCAUUGGGCGUAAAGGGUGCGUAGGCGGCGCGGUAAGUCGGGUGUGAAAUCUCGGAGCUUAACUUCGAAACUGCAUUCGAUACUGCCGUGCUUGAGGACUGGAGAGGAGACUGGAAUUUACGGUGUAGCGGUGAAAUGCUUAGAUAUGACAUAGAAUACCAAUUGCGAAGGCAGCUGGCUACACAAAUAUUGACACUGAGGCACGAAAGCGUGGGGAUCAAACAGG